UAGGGAGGAAAAGAAACCAACUGGGAUUACCUUAGUAACGGCGAGUGAAGCGGUAAAAGCUCAAAUCUGAAAUCUGGUACUUUCAGUGCCCGAGUUGUAAUUUGUAGAAUUUGUCUUUGAUUAGGUCCUUGUCUAUGUUCCUUGGAACAGGACGUCAUAGAGGGUGAGAAUCCCGUUUGGCGAGGAUACCUUUUCUCUGUAAGACUUUUUCGAAGAGUCGAGUUGUUUGGGAAUGCAGCUCAAAGUGGGUGGUAAAUUCCAUCUAAAGCUAAAUAUUGGCGAGAGACCGAUAGCGAACAAGUACAGUGAUGGAAAGAUGAAAAGAACUUUGAAAAGAGAGUGAAAAAGUACGUGAAAUUGUUGAAAGGGAAGGGCAUUUGAUCAGACAUGGUGUUUUUUGCAUGCACUCGCCUCUCGUGGGCUUGGGCCUCUCAAAAAUUUCACUGGGCCAACAUCAAUUCUGGCAGCAGGAUAAAUCAUUAAGAAUGUAGCUACUUCGGUAGUGUUAUAGCUUUUUGGAAUACUGUUAGCCGGGAUUGAGGACUGCGCUUCGGCAAGGAUGUUGGCAUAAUGGUUA
rnacentral:rRNA from 1 species